rnacentral:rRNA from 1 species
GAACGCUGGCGGUGCGCCUUAUGCAUGCAAGUCGAGCGAAGCUUUUCAGUAGUUUACUACAGAAAAUGACUGAGCGGCGAACGGGUGAGUAACGCGUGAGCAACCUACCUUAGUUACUGGGAUAGCCCGAGGAAACUCGGAUUAAUACCGGAUAUUCUUAUUUAAUCACAUGAUUUUUUAAGGAAAGGUCAGCCGAACUAAGAUGGGCUCGCGUUCUAUCAGCUAGUUGGUAGGGUAAUGGCCUACCAAGGCUACGACGGAUAGCUGGUCUGAGAGGACGAUCAGCCACACUGGGACUGAGACACGGCCCAGACUCCUACGGGAGGCUGCAGCAGGGAAUAUUGCGCAAUGAGCGAAAGCUUGACGCAGCGACACCGCGUGUGG